rnacentral:rRNA from 1 species
UACAGAGGUCUCAAGCGUUGUUCGGAUUCAUUGGGCGUAAAGGGUGCGUAGGUGGCGCCGUAAGUCAGGUGUGAAAUUUCGGAGCUUAACUCCGAAACUGCAUUUGAUACUGCGGUGCUUGAGGACUGGAGAGGAGACUGGAAUUCACGGUGUAGCAGUGAAAUGCGUAGAUAUCGUGAGGAAGACCAGUGGCGAAGGCGAAUCCCUGGAAAAUACCUGACACUGAGGCACGAAAGCUAGGGGAGCAAACAGG